rnacentral:rRNA from 1 species
AUUGAACGCUGGCGGCAGGCCUAACACAUGCAAGUCGAGCGGAUGACGGGAGCUUGCUCCUUGAUUCAGCGGCGGACGGGUGAGUAAUGCCUAGGAAUCUGCCUGGUAGUGGGGGACAACGUUUCGAAAGGAACGCUAAUACCGCAUACGUCCUACGGGAGAAAGCAGGGGACCUUCGGGCCUUGCGCUAUCAGAUGAGCCUAGGUCGGAUUAGCUAGUUGGUGAGGUAAUGGCUCACCAAGGCGACGAUCCGUAACUGGUCUGAGAGGAUGAUCAGUCACACUGGAACUGGGACACGGUCCAGACUCCUACGGGAGGCAGCAGUGGGGAAUAUUGGACAAUGGGCGAAAGCCUGAUCCAGCCAUGCCGCGUGUGUGAAGAUGGUCUUCGGAUUGUAAAGCACUUUAAGUUGGGAGGAAGGGCAGUAAGUUAAUACCUUGCUGUUUUGACGUUACCGACAGAAUAAGCACCGGCUAACUCUGUGCCAGCCGCCGCGGUAAGAC